GUCUGCAAUUACAAACGAACGACGCGGUUUUUAAAAACAAAAGCGGAGGUGCGGGAAAUCCUACAAGGUCACAGGGGCGCAGUUUCGAUCGUGUUGAAUGGCUUAGACAACGGCUUUUCAGAAGGAAGGGAUUAGAAACUGUUCGAUCUGAAGCGGUAUUCAGAGUGUUAAAGAAUUCUUAGAUGCCGCGAUCGUUAGAAAAGCCCGAUUUUCAAAGGGAAAGAAAAAACAGUGGAUUUUAUUUUUAGCAUGGAACCCCCAAAAACACAGGAACCCCUUGCCGUGCCAUUGUUGCCACAAUGCCGUGACUCGGAUUCGAACCGAGGUUGCUGCGGCCACAACGCAGAGUACUAACCACUAUACGAUCACGGCGAGCUACCAGGGACCUGUAAUAUUCCUCUUCUGAAUAUUCUCUUCAAUACUCAUAGGCCUUCCUACUUCCUGCGUCACUAAAUGACCCAUCUGUUGGGCGGGACUCCAACCUAGCAUAGCGUGUGAUGCGCAGGCGCAUUGCACUCUCGCAGCUAACUAGGCUUCACUUUGGUUCCUUAGUCUGGGGCAAAGUAGUCGCUUGCGAGAGGUGUUAGGGGUUGGCCGGAGACCUCCUGAGUACACGGGGACCCGAGGUGACUGUCUUGGGGAAGCCGGUUUCCGGUGCCUGGACCCUUGAAGUGGACUCUGUAGAGUUCUCGGGCCUGCAGGGGCGUUCCCCAUUGCGUCUCCUGGCUGCAGAUCCUCCGCCAUCCCUAGCAGCGACCCAUAGGGACCUUUGCGUAGAGUGCGGAUGCCCUCUGUACUGAGUUAGCUGUAUGGAGAGAACUCGAAUGCCUGUCAGCUUCGGCUUUCCGCCCCCACAACCUCUCUCUCUAGCAGCCUCUCCCUCUCUUGGAUGGCUAAAUCCUCCCUCCAAGAUACUCCCGCUCGGCUUUGCGCCCACUUCUGACCCCACUGGGUGGCUAUUGAGACUCGGUCCGGUUUCCUUCUUGUCCCUCAGCGCUCCCGCCCACAUGGCGUCUAGCCUGUGACAGCUUCCAUAGAGGGGCAGUGAUAUUUCCUAAACCAAGAGUGUGCCAGUGGUUUCCGACAAGUGAAUUCAAAGUGGCCAGUACCCUCUUCCGCAGAACCACCGGAGAAAUCGCUAAACACCAACUAAAAUUUUCCCCCAUUUCACAGCCCAGACUGCAGGGCAUCCUCCUUCUUUUCCUGCUCACGUGGCUUAGAGUGUCGUUUCCUGCCCCCAACGACGGGCGCCCAUUCACUCAACAGGUUCUAGAGGAACGCUAGUUGUCAGCCAAGUCAGGCCCUAGAGCUGUGGGAGCGGGCAGGUCUUAAAAAUGACCCUGGGAGAACACUUAGAAGAGGAAUCGCGACAGUGCCUUUUCAUGACUGUGUUCAGCCUUUUGUACAUUAAAUUGCUGUUUGACAGAUUCCCAUUCUACUCAUAAAAGCUCCCUCUGCGGAGCCUCUUCGUUCCAUCACUUCGGCGUCUACUCCAGUGCUUUGAUGGAAAUCUGUGACGUCAAAGAUAUAUAGGAGACUAAGAAAAACACCAUAUUUUUAUGGAAACAGUCACAUAUGUUCGCUGCACUUUUCUGGCUGAUGCAAUUCCCUGUAUUGGGAUGCGAAUACCAUCCCCAUAACAAACUGGAAGCCUCUGAGCUCCCGCAGUCUAAUUUGGCCUACGCUGGUAUAAACCCUGUUCACAAUUGUCACUUGUUUGAGGUCCAUUUUUCUGGAAUGUUAGCUGUGUAUUAAAAUGGAAUAGAGGAACAAAACAGGUCCCUUGCCGUGCCAUUGUUGCCACAAUGCCGUGACUCGGAUUCGAACCGAGGUUGCUGCGGCCACAACGCAGAGUACUAACCACUAUACGAUCACGGCGAGCUACCGGGAACCUAAGGUCAGGACUUCUUACUUGAUCUCUUCUGUAUUGGAUGCCCCUCCCCUUUGACGUCACUGGGUUGAUGGCAUUUGUUUCCGCCUAUCAUCAACGGCGGGACUUACGAGUGUGCGCAGGCGCUUUGUUUUCCCUGGCUAGACCCGCGCGCAGGCGGAAAGCCCUACGCUCCGCAGCAGUGACAACAGCGGUAGACUGGGUCUCUUUUUUCCCCCUUUCAUUUCUCUUCUUUCUUUCUUUCUUCUUUCUUUUUUUUUCUUUUUGAGUCGGGGUCUCAUUCGGGCAGGCUGGCCUCUAACGUCCUGCGUUUUAGGUUCCCAGGCGCCACUACGUUGGGCUUGCCAGGCAGUUUCAUGACCGUCUUUUUUGAGGUGCGUUCCCAAGCCAAGCGGAAACUCGAGAAGAUUGGCCCAUUGUUAAGGCCUAUUGACAGGUAGCUGUGUGUCGGAUCUCCUACCCUGCCCUGCUGUGGAAUCAAUCAGAUGAGUGAAGACCCUGCUGGGAGUUGUGAAUUAAUUUCUUUGGAUGCUCAAGCCCUAAAUCAAGUCAUGAAAGGAACAGUCAUGUUGUCAAAUGUCAGGCUGCCUCAGGCUUGUGACCCUGCUGCCAUCACCUUUAAAGUGUUGGGAUGACAGAUCAGAAAGUUACCAGACAGACAGCUACAUCCAUAAAGGAGCAUGACAUCAGACGGGUAUGGCAGCAGGAGCAGGGAACCAGAGCUGACAUCUCAGUCACACAUAGGGAGCAGAGAGAAACAGGAAGGUGGGUGAGCCUGUAAGCCCUGAAACACCACGCCUUGAGAUGUCCUUCCUUCAGUAAGGUUGUACCUAAACAUUCUAUAGUCUCCUCAAAUAGUGCUACCAACUGUUGACCACUGUUCAAAUGCACAAGCCUAUGAGGAACAUUUCGCAUUCAAACCGCCAUGUUUUUCAUCAUCU
rnacentral:tRNA from 1 species